UGGGGAAUUUUGGACAAUGGGCGAAAGCCUGAUCCAGCAAUGCCGCGUGUGUGAAGAAGGCCUUCGGGUUGUAAAGCACUUUUGUCCGGAAAGAAAUCCUUGGCUCUAAUACAGUCGGGGGAUGACGGUACCGGAAGAAUAAGCACCGGCUAACUACGUGCCAGCAGCCGCGGUAAUACGUAGGGUGCAAGCGUUAAUCGGAAUUACUGGGCGUAAAGCGUGCGCAGGCGGUUUGCUAAGACCGAUGUGAAAUCCCCGGGCUCAACCUGGGAACUGCAUUGGUGACUGGCAGGCUAGAGUAUGGCAGAGGGGGGUAGAAUUCCACGUGUAGCAGUGAGAUGCGUAGAGAUGUGGAGGAAUACCGAUGGCGAAGGCAGCCCCCUGGGCCAAUACUGACGCUCAUGCACGAAAGCGUGGGGAGCAAAACAGGAUUAGAUACCCUGGUAGUCCACGCCCUAAAACGAUGUCAACUAGUUGUUGGGGAUUCAUUUCCUUAGUAACGUAGCUAACGCGUGAAGUUGACCGCCUGGGGAGUACGGUCGCAAGAUUAAAACUUAAAUGAAUUGACGGGGUCAUAGCUGUUUCCU
rnacentral:rRNA from 1 species